GAUGAACGCUGGCGGUAUGCCUAACACAUGCAAGUCGUACGAGAGUUUUUAACUCUAGUGGCGGACGGGUGAGUAACACGUGAGAAUUUGCCUUUAGGAGGGGGACAACAAUCGGAAACGAAUGCUAAUACCCCAUAUGCUUUCGAGUGAAAUGGAUUUUAUCCGCCUAGAGAGAAGCUCGCGGCUGAUUAGCUUGUUGGUAAGGUAAGAGCUUACCAAGGCGACGAUCAGUAUCUGGUUUGAGAGGACGAUCAGACACACUGGAACUGAGACACGGUCCAGACUCCUACGGGAGGCAGCAGUGGGGAAUUUUCCGCAAUGGGCGAAAGCCUGACGGAGCAAUACCGCGUGAGGGAAGAAUGCCUAUGGGUUGUAAAACCUCUUUUUUCAGGGAGGAAUCAAAUGACGUGUACCUGAAGAAUAAGCAUCGGCUAAACUCCGUG
rnacentral:rRNA from 1 species